GAGCCCGUGGCUCAAUGGUAGAGCGUUCGACUCAAAUGCCAAAGGUCGCGGGUUCG
rnacentral:tRNA from 1 species